CUCGUAGGCGGUUCAGUAAGUCAGGUGUGAAAUCUUUGGGCUUAACCCAAAGCGUGCAUUUGAUACUGCUGUGACUUGAGUUCGGUAGGGGAGUGGGGAAUUCCUAGUGUAGCGGUGAAAUGCGCAGAUAUUAGGAGGAACACCGGUGGCGAAGGCGCCACUCUGGGCCGAAACUGACGCUGAGGAGCGAAAGCGUGGGUGCAAAC
rnacentral:rRNA from 1 species